rnacentral:lncRNA from 1 species
UUUGUUUCUGUUUCUGCUUAUCACCUUGAAGGUUGGCAUCAUUGCACAUACAGAUGAGGAAACUUGACAAGUGACAGGCUCAUGUUCUGUCUUGUCACUGUGCCCUGCUGCAUUGUUUUAUAAGUGAGCUACGAAGAUCUCAUUUAUCUACCCAUUGUCAUCAAGCAACCACUAAGAUGAUGAAUACGUAAUGAACCACACGCUGCAUUCAGUUUUGAGGAUACAGAGUGCACUGAUAAUGGGUGGCUCCUAUCAACUACCAAUUUCCAAGUCCCUAUAAUCAAGAGAAUGGCUUUUGA